rnacentral:rRNA from 1 species
UGGGGAAUAUUGCACAAUGGGCGCAAGCCUGAUGCAGCCAUGCCGCGUGUGUGAAGAAGGCCUUCGGGUUGUAAAGCACUUUCAGCGGGGAGGAAGGCGUUAAGGUUAAUAACCUUGGCGGUUGACGUUACCCGCAGAAGAAGCACCGGCUAACUCCGUGCCAGCAGCCGCGGUAAUACGGAGGGUGCAAGCGUUAAUCGGAAUUACUGGGCGUAAAGCGCACGCAGGCGGUCUGUCAAGUCGGAUGUGAAAUCCCCGGGCUCAACCUGGGAACUGCAUUCGAAACUGGCAGGCUAGAGUCUUGUAGAGGGGGGUAGAAUUCCAGGUGUAGCGGUGAAAUGCGUAGAGAUCUGGAGGAAUACCGGUGGCGAAGGCGGCCCCCUGGACAAAGACUGACGCUCAGGUGCGAAAGCGUGGGGAGCAAACAGG